GAAAUGCGAUAAGUAAUGUGAAUUGCAGAAUUCAGUGAAUCAUCGAAUCUUUGAACGCACAUUGCGCCCGCUGGUAUUCCGGCGGGCAUGCCUGUUCGAGCGUCAUUACACCACUCCAGCCUCGCUGGGUCUUGGGCGCCGCGGUCUGCCGCGCGCCUCAAAGUCUCCGGCCGAGCCGCCCGUCCCUCAGCGUUGUGAACUCAUCCGCUGCGGGGCGCGGGCGCGCCCGACGCCGUUAAACCUCUCUUAAGGUUGACCUCGGAUCAGGUAGGGAUACCCGCUGAACUUAA
rnacentral:misc_RNA from 1 species